CAGGGAGACAACAAAAUGUUUAAUAUUAUUAUUUUGUCACCUUAGGUCGAUCGGUAUCUCACGUUCUUAAUUUAUUAAGAAUUUCAAUUCCUAAGUUUUUCUAGGUCACACCCAUUAUUUUCCCUGGGCCAUUAGCUCAGGUGGUUAGAGCGCACCCCUGAUAAGGGUGAGGUCCCUGGUUCAAGUCCAGGAUGGCCCAUAUCUCUAUGUUGGGGGUAUAGCUCAGUUGGUAGAGCGCCUGCUUUGCAAGCAGGAUGUCAGCGGUUCGAGUCCGCUUACCUCCACUGAUUACCACCUCUUCCAUAAUUUGUAGAAAGGGAAUUUUUUUGAGUUGUGAUCACUUUCUGAACGAAUCUAGCUUUCUAAUGAAAGCAUUAAGAUGCUGGACUCAUUGAAUUAAUUUCAUUGUUUUCAGAGAACCUUGACAACUGCAUAGAUUAUUUUUAAAGACAAUAAGCAUCUUUAAUGAUGCAGAUUUAUUAUUUGUGCAAAUGCAUUAAUAACAAUUCUAUUAAGCUGAUGCUUCAAUUUUGAAGUUAUU
rnacentral:tRNA from 1 species